UCCAAGAACGGCGCCGCCACUCCCGUGCCUCUUCGCUUCCAACGUCGCGGCCGGCCUUUAAUGGAAAGCUACGGCGUGAACUCAUUCCCCAACCAGCACUCCUUCCUCUCUCAACGCUUGGCUUGCUCCCCAACUGGACUUUGGAGAGACCUAGAUGGUACAUGCAUGUUCUCUUGUUCUUCUUUCUUUCUAAUCUUGUUCCUCAAUUCAAAGAUUGAUUGACAAAUAGCUCUGCGUUCCGGCAAAGACGAUUCCAGAUAGUACAUCCAUUAAAUCUGCAUGUGUCUUGUUCUGCUUUUCAUUGGAUCCAAAUGUGAGAGAGUCUUCAGGAAGGAGAUUAGGAGAAGGGAGAAAAUUUAGGCAAUUCAGGCGUGUCUUUUUGUUCGUGUUGACUGCUAUGGUGUACGGAUAAGCCACCUACAACAUCCACAUGAAUCGGUUUCCAGGAUAGUUAUUCUUUGAGUAAACAAUUUUGGAGUGAAGAGCAUGGUAGAUCGGGGAUGAUCCAGAAACAAAUGUAAGUUCAGGCAAUAGUUUUAUUUCUCAUGGAAACACAAAUGUUUUAUGUUGCAACCAGUUUUGACAAGGCUAUUUGUUUUGCCAAAAAGAAAGAUGUGUCCACUGACAAUUAGGAAAUUGAUCUUUUCUGGCGCUAUAUUGUUUCAUUACUAUCAUGAUGGAUAAAUAGUAGUAUUCUCAGUCUUAGAGUCCAAGAUCAACAAUAUAUGCUAUGUACUCUAUAUUUACUUUGCUUCCGAAGAACGACUUAGCUUUUGUUUGUCAAGAAGGGCCCCUUGUUCUUAUCUUGCCCCUGGGCCCCAUAUAUCUGUGGGUCGGCCCUGCAUGUAUGGCACCAAGUAUGCGUGUGAGUCUGCAUCCAAGAGUUAGUUAGUUGCAAGCCUGGAUAGUAGAAGGAGUGAAUCACACGUACAUGCAUGGAUAGAGUUUGUUGGUAGAUUGGCUUAGAAGUGAUCUUAGUAAUCAGUCCUUAUCUCCAAGACGUGGGGAGAUCGGCCGAGUCGUGUGGCCAAGUCAUGGGAUUACUAGUGGCAGUUUGUACCGGCUAGUGGAGCUAGUCGUGGUGUGACUGGCUUGUGUACGUGCACUACUAAUAGGCCGUGUAACAAAUUCAUUUGCUUAAGAGAAAGAGAGUCAAAAAAGGCACAAGUUGUGCGGUGCCAAAACUCCUGUGUGCUCUUCUUCUAUCUUGUGUGCGUGAGUUUAUCUCCUACCUUGGGCAGAGAUUACACUGAAAUGGUGUUAUAACACACAUUAGGUGAAUUUAAUGUGAUUUUACAAUAUAUGCUCAGUACUAGAUUUAGGGAAUUUGGCAAAGAUACUAUUUGCCAUCAGUCAGCUCUUUGCCGUCCGCCGUCAGCUAGCGGACGGCAAAGAGAUGGAUGGGGUCCAGUGGACGACACUGCUGUAGUGGCCGUCCACCUUCUUUGCCGUCUACGACCGACGGCAAAGGGGUCUUUCCCAUCCGCUGGCAAAAAGCAGACGGCAAAUCAGCUCUUUGCCCGUGUUUACAGGGCCGGGCAGGUUUGUCAUCCGCGGCUGACGGCAAAGACGUUUGCCGUCCGCUUUCUGGUCCUUUGCCGUUUGUCGUCGCAGAUGGCAAAACAGCUGAUUCCUGUAGUGGCUGCUGAUGAAUAUUUUUGCUCAGAAAGAACAAUGGAGGCACUAAACUUUAAUUAGGUUGACAAACCUAAGCCGCAACAUGUUAGAGUCAAUCAAAUUCUUCUUCAGACUAUUUUGAGAAGCACAUCAAAAUCAAGUAAGCACAUGUCCUUGGCAUAAGGUUCAAUAUACUAUAUACUAAACCCUUUGGAGUUCUUCUUCGAACAACAUUCAGAACAUCAAUACUGAUGUAAUCAUCAAUGCGCUUGCUACACUAUUCAGUAGCACCGAUGGCAUAACUUCUUAAACCAAUGUGAACAAGGUCUUCAACUUUAAUCCAAAGAUAGUGAUAAAAUGCUUACUUUGGUGCAUAUAGUUGGACAUGGCAGCUUAAAUGCUUGACAACACGUUCUUCAAAACAUUAUUAUUAACUACUUUGGAGCAUUCUAUAUAAAUUAUUACCAAUUGCUGCUCACUGUUAGAUGAUUAAGAUAAUGAACAAGCCAUAUCCCAGCAACAAGAGAGAAUUAUCUUUUGGCAGAAAAGUCUUAAUGUGAUAAAUGGUUAUAUAUCUAUUGGGAAAUUUAGUGUGUAAUAGGUUUGAGUAAAUAGAUCAACUACAUGCAUAGUUUUUGAGGGAUGCUAUAUAUGCAUAGCACCUUUAUGAUUGAGUCUGCUGAGAUAUAGAUAUACCUCUUUCACAAGAGUUGAGUUGUAGAGAUAAUGGUUGAUAGUUCAUCGCGGAAUGAUCAAAAUAGGUAUUCUUUUGGAGUGGAAACAUUUAGCUUAACCUUGACUUCUUUUUACAUAAGAGGUAACAAGUAUGGAUGGCUGGAGGUCCAAGUGAUUCGGAAAAAAAACUGAAGUUUAAGAGAAAUGGGUAUUUGUUCCAUAACUAGAGCCAAUUAAAUGAUUGGCACUAAAAAUUCAAGCCUUCAACCAAGCAUGUAGCGAUAAAUGUCACAACCACUCGCGCUAACUCUUGUAAUAUGAGUAGAGUUCAACCUCUUACAUAUACACUAGAGUUCAACCUCUUACAUAUACAAGUAGUUUCCUCGUUGUUACCUUCACAGGAAUUGUAAAUUCAGUGCCAACACUAUUGCUCCAACACAUUGGCAGAGACAAUGGAAAAAUGUGUUACGAAUGAUAGGCAACGGGAACACGGAGUGGUGCGGCGCACGGCCAUGAAGAAGGGUUGGAGCUGUUCUUGAGUCCAUUGUAUGUUCUACAUAGGUUUACCUAGUGAUUGCGCUCUUCCCGUGUGAGCCUUAGUGCUUUGCUCCCGAGGUUUGACAAGACCUUGUAUUGGUGACCAUGUUUGAUGUUUCCUUUGCUUUUUAGCUGGAUCACAGUCGUCCCAAUUCCCAAAUGAGCUUGCCAACUAUAGGUUAUUCUCAAUCUGAGGCCAAAACUAGUAAUGAAUGCUAGCCGUAGCACGAUUCGCUAGUACAACAAUGAUCUAAGAGCAUGUCUAACAGAGCCCUCAAAACUCAACCUUCAAAACCAGUUUGAGGGCUGAGAAAAUAUCGUUUUGAAGGCCGAAAAUCCCUGGCGCAGAUCAGUGCCCUCAAACCAACCCUCAAAAUCUCUGUCUCGUCGUCCUCUUCGUCUGCACGGAGGGAAUCGAGCCGAGACGCUCGGGAGCGAGGGAAUCGUCUCUGUCUUCAUCAACGUCAUGCGCUGCUCACCGCCGGAAUUCGUCGCUGUUCGUCGACGUGGGUGCCCGCCCGCCACUGAUUUUGGCCGACGUGGGUGGCCGCCACCAUCUCCGCGUUUAGAUUACUAAAAUAGUGAUGUAAACUAAUAUAAGAGCGUUUAGAUUACUAAAAUAGUGAUGUAAAUGCUCUUAUAUUAGCUUAUGGAGGGAGCACUUCGUAUUUGUAUAGGACUUGUCUUGAUGGCGUAUGGUGUGAUGCCAGUUGUGUGGAGUUCUUGGUCGGAGCGUGCGGGUCGCGCCAGGCGUUUGGUGGUGGCAUUUCUCCUCUCUGUGAUGCUGCCAUGGGAGCCCAAGGGGGAGGGGGAUUAACCACCGGCUACCCGAAGAAUAAGCCUUUUGGUCCUCAGAUCUGCAGGGAGAGGUCCUGGCCUUGCUGCUCUCUUCACACUGCCUUGGUGGAGGAAGAUGGGACGCAGAGGAGGCUCAAUCCGUCUCCAGCGGAGCUGCAACAGCAGU